rnacentral:tRNA from 1 species
AGUCUCAUAGCUCAGCUGGUUAGAGCGCUACACUGAUAAUGUAGAGGUCGGCAGUUCGAGUCCGCCCGAGACUA